rnacentral:rRNA from 1 species
AUUGCACGCUGGCGGCAGGCCUAACACAUGCAAGUCGAACGAGUGGCGGACGGGUGAGUAAUGUCUGGGAAACUGCCCGUUGGAGGGGGAUAACUACUGGAAACGGUAGCUAAUACCGCAUACCAUCGGAUGUGCCCCGAUGGGAUUGGCUAGUAGGUGGGGUAACGGCUCACCUAGGCGACGAUCCCUAGCUGGUCUGAGAGGAUGACCAGCCACACGGGAAAGGAGACACGGUCCAGACUCCUACGGGAGGCAGCAGUGGGGAAGAUUGCACAAUGGGCGCAAGCCUGAUGCAGCCAUGCCGCGUGUAUGAAGAAGGCCUUCGGGUUGUAAAGUACUUUCAGCGAGGAGGCGUUACUCGCAGAAGAAGCACCGGCUAACUCCGUGCCAGCCGCCGCGGUAAUAC